UGUUUGAUGUUCUAACGUUGGCCCGUAAUCCGGGUUGCGGACAGUGUCUGGUGGGUAGUUUGACUGGGGCGGUCUCCUCCUAAAGAGUAACGGAGGAGCACGAAGGUUGGCUAAUCCUGGUCGGACAUCAGGAGGUUAGUGCAAUGGCAUAAGCCAGCUUGACUGCGAGCGUGACGGCGCGAGCAGGUGCGAAAGCAGGUCAUAGUGAUCCGGUGGUUCUGAAUGGAAGGGCCAUCGCUCAACGGAUAAAAGGUACUCCGGGGAUAACAGGCUGAUACCGCCCAAGAGUUCAUAUCGACGGCGGUGUUUGGCACCUCGAUGUCGGCUCAUCACAUCCUGGGGCUGAAGUAGGUCCCAAGGGUAUGGCUGUUCGCCAUUUAAAGUGGUACGCGAGCUGGGUUUAGAACGUCGUGAGACAGUUCGGUCCCUAUCUGCCGUGGGCGCUGGAGAACUGAGGGGGGCUGCUCCUAGUACGAGAGGACCGGAGUGGACGCAUCACUGGUGUUCGGGUUGUCAUGCCAAUGGCACUGCCCGGUAGCUAAAUGCGGAAGAGAUAAGUGCUGAAAGCAUCUAAGCACGAAACUUGCCCCGAGAUGAGUUCUCCCUGACUCCUUGAGGGUCCUGAAGGAACGUUGAAGACGACGACGUUGAUAGGCCGGGUGUGUAAGCGCAGCGAUGCGUUGAGCUAACCGGUACUAAUGAACCGUGAGGCUUAACCUU
rnacentral:rRNA from 1 species